AUAUCAAUAAGCGGAGGAAAAGAAACUAACAAGGAUUCCCCUAGUAACGGCGAGCGAACCGGGAAUAGCCCAACUGAAAAUCUCCCUUUGGAGAAUUGUAGUCUAUAGAAGUACCCUCUGCGGUGAGCAGUGCCCAAGUUCCUUGGAAAAGGACGUCAGAGAGGGUGAGAACCCCGUCGGCGCCAGCUUUAACCGCUCCACGAGGUGCUUUCGCAGAGUCGGGUUGCUUGGGAAUGCAGCCCAAAUUGGGUGGUAAAUCUCAUCUAAGGCUAAAUAUUGGCGAGAGACCGAUAGCGCACAAGUA
rnacentral:rRNA from 1 species